CUUGGAGAUAUAUUUUUAUUUAAUUGCUUUAAGAAAUAAAUUCAAAGAUCUGAAAAAUAAACAACCACAAUGUAAACACAAACGUUUCUUGCAUCAAUUUCUUUAUUUUUUUUCCAUCAAAAGAAAUGCACAGAUCAGCAAAGCUAUUACAUACAAAUGGCCAUACAAUAGCAAUUCAUUUUUUUUCUGUUCUUGUUUGAAAGUCUUCAGGAAAUUCUGUUGUGUCAUGUAUACACUGUAUCUUGAACAUUUGCAGUUACGCUGCAUUCAGCAACAAAAGAAAUCGUCCCAAUGCUCUUCUUCCACGUUCAAAUGAAAGUGUUCAGCCACAAACUACAUAUCUGGACAGCUACUUGUUACUGCUCCAGGAAAACUACUGUACUUACAUACAAUAAAGAAAAGAAACAAAAGUUUUGCAUAGCUUCAUUGUAAUGUAGAUACAGUACUGUAAGGCACUUCAUGAAGAACUUUAGGCAUUUUUAAAAAUAAAUCCUACACAAUAAACCUUUUGUCACGUCAUCCUACAGAUUCCAUCUCGAUAGAUAAAUGUUACAACAUCUGACGAAAAAAAAUCUUUUCUUAAAUCACAUUUUUGCGCACUAUGUAUAUCUACUAUACUCCACUGCUUUUCUUUUGGCAUUAAGUCUCAAGUUCAACAUUCAUAUAUUGUGCAUAAUAUGACUCACACAUUGUCCCCAUAACCCCACACAACCCAAUAUUUCUCAAAAAGACCAAAAGAAAACAAAAAUUGUGCAAUGAUUUGGGGUUAUGUGGAGUAAAAGGCAACACGCUGUCAAAAACGAGUCCCCCAAACCAAAAGAAAACCUAAAUGUCUGGGCAAGUUGUAGGUCAUUUCCUCAUAGACGGGUGCUGUACUGACAGUUACAGGGUACAUCAUUUUCAUUUGCCUCUCCUCACACCAGUCCAAACCAGUGUGGGAGUGUGUGUCGUAUUCCAGCAGUUGUAGGUGGGACUACAUGCUCCAGCAGGCCACGUAGAUAGAGGUAAGGAGGAUGCAUCUGCUCUAUCCAAGCUGAUCUUCGUACUGUUUGCGGAAGCAAUCUCCAGCUGGGAAAAAGUCCCAGCAGCGCUCCUGAUACAUCUUCCACACGUAGGACUCCUGGACACAAGCCAACAUCAGAGUUUAGCUCGAAAUCUUUAACUUGCCUAAAGUAAGGCUGAAUGUUUUGAACUUAAAUAUCCAAAAUUUAAACAUUACAUAAUUACAGGUGUGUUAAUGAGCUGAAAUGGGUAUACUUGGUAUUAACAUGCAUGUUAAUACCAAGUGAACGUAUCAACAGAAAGAUCAUUAAAACAGUUUUGGUAUUUAGUGAGUAUACUAGCUGUGUCCCAAAACCUAGGCCACCUCAUUUUAAGGCUGAUUACGUCACAGCCAGGAGACGAAGGCCGUCCCAAUUUGAAGGCUGCUCCAAACGCGGUCGACAAAUGCGUCCUUCAUUUCCCCGAAUUUGAAGGAUUGUACCCUACCCCAGAAUUCAUAGCGCGGCCCAGCCGAUUCCAGUUUC
ensembl:lncRNA